rnacentral:rRNA from 1 species
CAGCCGCCGCGGGAAUACGAAGGGUGCAAGCGUUAAUCGGAAUUACUGGGCGUAAAGCGUGCGUAGGCGGUUUGUUAAGUCUGUUGUGAAAUCCCCGGGCUUAACCUGGGAACUGCGCUUGUGACUGCACAGCUAGAGUAUGGCAGAGGGGGGUGGAAUUCCACGUGUAGCAGUGAAAUGCGUAGAGAUGUGGAGGAACACCGAUGGCGAAGGCAGCCCCCUGGGCCAAUACUGACGCUCAUGCACGAAAGCGUGGGGAGCAAACAGGAUUAGAUACCCCAGUAGUCCCUGUCUCUUAUAA